rnacentral:rRNA from 1 species
CCCUUAGAUGUUCUGGGCUGCACGCGCGCUACACUGACGAAUGCAACGAGCUUAUAACCUUGGCCGAAAGGUCUGGGUAAUCUCCAAAUUUCGUCGUGAUGGGGAUAGAUUAUUGCAAUUAUUAAUCUUCAACGAGGAAUGCCUAGUAAGCGCAAGUCAUCAGCUUGCGUUGAUUACGUCCCUGCCCUUUGUACACACCGCCCGUCGCUCCUACCGAUUGAAUGGUCCGGUGAAGCGCUCGGACCGCGGCCUCUUGACGGUUUUCCGUCGAUUGGCUGUGGGAAGUUCGUUAAACCUUAUCAUUUAGAGGAAGGAGAAGUCGUAACA